rnacentral:rRNA from 1 species
UACAGAGGGUGCAAGCGUUGUUCGGAAUUAUUGGGCGUAAAGCGCGUGUAGGCGGCUUUGCAAGUCGGGUGUGAAAGCCCUCAGCUUAACUGAGGAAGUGCGCCCGAAACUGCAGAGCUUGAGUACCGGAGAGGAUGGUGGAAUUCCCCAAGUAGAGGUGAAAUUCGUAGAUAUGGGGGAGGAACACCGGUGGCGAAGGCGACCAUCUGGACGGAUACUGACGCUGAGACGCGAAAAGCGUGGGUAGCAAACAGG